rnacentral:rRNA from 1 species
ACGGAAGGCAGCAGUGAGGAAUAUUGGUCAAUGGACGGAAGUCUGAACCAGCCAAGUCGCGUGAAGGAUGAAGGUAUUAUGUAUUGUAAACUUCUUUAGCAGUGGAGUAAUAAGGGGAUCGCGAUCCCUGAUGCAAGUACACUGAGAAUAAGGAUCGGCUAACUCCGUGCCAGCAGCUGCGGUAAUACGGAGGAUCCGAGCGUUAUCCGGAUUUAUUGGGUUUAAAGGGUGCGCAGGCGGCUUUUUAAGUCAGUGGUUAAAUCGUGACGCUCAACGUCAUCACGCCAUUGAUACUGGAGAGCUUGAUUGCGGUCGAGGUUUGCGGAAUUCGUUGUGUAGCGGUGAAAUGCAUAGAUAUGACGAAGAACACCGAUUGCGUAGGCAGCAGACCAGGCCGUAAAUGACGCUCAUGCACGAAAGUGCGGGGAUCGAACAGGAUUAGAUACCCUGGUA